rnacentral:lncRNA from 1 species
ACACAGUCCAGUUCUGCAAUAGCCUUGUUUCUGGAGUUCUAACCUCCUUCCCAGCAGGGAAUGACUAAUGCUUAAAGCCACGCAUUACACGAAGGUUUACCAGGCAGAGCAAAUAAAUGGUCAUCGGAGACAUGCUUUCAAACAGAGAUCUCUGUUCUUGGCAUGAAGGUUAAGAGGAGUUUGAAAUUCUUGCUUCAGGCCAUAUGGAGUGGAUAUUCCUUCCAGAAGGAAAUUACAGACCACUCUCUGUUUCUACUCAACUGCUUUUCACUCCAGGAUGCUUCACCUCUUGGGGCCUUCCCCAGCAGAGGCCCAGGAUCACCUGCAAAAGGCUUCCCCAAGGGUGGGGCCAGAAGCAGGGCUGCAGAUAUGUGUCCUGAACCUCCCAUGGACCCUGCUGGCUCCCUUCAAAGGCUUCGGGCAUAGCGACUUGCCUUUCCGUCUUGUUCAGUCGUCACCAGUCAGCCGUCUGCAGACUUCUCUCCCUCACGUUGUGGCAGAGGAGUUGUACAUUCUCUAGAUUUUAAAAAUAUAUAAGUUACUUUUUCUUUAAAAUAAAAAUUGUCUCUGAAAUAA